GGAGCCAUCUAGGAAAGGGGAAUGGAAACUGAGAUGCUGGCACUUUGGGCCCUGCCAAUGAGCUAAAGCAGUGUAUAAUUAAGGAAUUGCACAGGCUUCCUUCCCCAGGACAAAGCAGCGCACAGUCUUCUUGGAUUACUGUCCUCUUACAGCAAUAAUUACCUGUGGAUAAUAGAUUAUAUUAUUGGAAGGGCACACACGCUUGCUGCCAGCCACGUUCUUCUUGGUGGGCUGCCCACUUCUGCUGCAGAACUGAUGAGCAUCAUGCCAGCGGAGAAGAGCUUGAGCCUAGGAACACAAUGAUGGGCCUGGUGUCAUUUGGAGAGAAUGCGGGGCUCAUCUUUAACAGCACUGGGCCUAGUGUCUGGAACAACUCACAGAAAAAUGCCAAUCUCUUUACAGCUCACGUAAUUUAAAUGGUUACUGUUUAAAUUUCAGGACAAGUAAACUAACUGAACAUAUUCCUCUAGCAUCAGAAAUCUGAAUAAAAGAAAGCAUAUUUUUAAAUGUAUUAUUAUUUAAAACAUAUGAAGUAUAUGAGGUAAUAAAAUGAACACCCAUGUAUUCACUAACCAGCUUAAAAAUAAAACAUUCCCAGUACAGUUGAACACCCCAAAAUGUUCUUCUCCCUGGUAAAGUUGGAAUUUUUUGCAACUAAAAAAAUGUUUAGAGGUUUCUUUUUAAAUUAAAUGCACAAUCAAAAUACUUUAGCAAGUGAAAUCUAAAGCUGUGAGGGCAAGUCAUUAAAGCAAUGUAAAGUAAUUUCUCUUAGGGAAAACAUGAUACUGUAUAUGUCAUGCUAUGUGGGUCAUUAAAAAUGUUUAUGAGGCUGA
rnacentral:lncRNA from 1 species